GACGAACGCUGGCGGCGUGCCUAAUACAUGCAAGUUGAGCGCUGAAGGUUGGUACUUGUACCAACUGGAUGAGCAGCGAACGGGUGAGUAACGCGUGGGGAAUCUGCCUUUGAGCGGGGGACAACAUUUGGAAACGAAUGCUAAUACCGCAUAAAAACUUUAAACACAAGUUUUAAGUUUGAAAGAUGCAAUUGCAUCACUCAAAGAUGAUCCCGCGUUGUAUUAGCUAGUUGGUGAGGUAAAGGCUCACCAAGGCGAUGAUACAUAGCCGACCUGAGAGGGUGAUCGGCCACAUUGGGACAGAGACACGGCCCAAACUCCUACGGGAGGCAGCAGUAGGGAAUCUUCGGCAAUGGACGAAAGUCUGACCGAGCAACGCCGCGUGAGUGAAGAAGGUUUUCGGAUCGUAAAACUCUGUUGGUAGAGAAGAACGUUGGUGAGAGUGGAAAGCUCAUCAAGUGACGGUAACUACUCAGAAAGGGACGGCUAACUACGUG
rnacentral:rRNA from 1 species